rnacentral:rRNA from 1 species
GACGAACGCUGGCGGCGUGCUUAACACAUGCAGGUCGAACGGAAAGGCCCUGCUUUUGUGGGGUGCUCGAGUGGCGAACGGGUGAGUAACACGUAAGUAACCUGCCCUUGACUUUGGGAUAACUUCAGGAAACUGGGGCUAAUACCGGAUAGGAGCUCCUGCUGCAUGGUGGGGGUUGGAAAGUUUCGGCGGUUGGGGAUGGACUCGCGGCUUAUCAGCUUGUUGGUGGGGUAGUGGCUUACCAAGGCUUUGACGGGUAGCCGGCCUGAGAGGGUGACCGGCCACAUUGGGACUGAGAUACGGCCCAGACUCCUACGGGAGGCAGCAGUGGGGAAUAUUGCACAAUGGGCGGAAGCCUGAUGCAGCAACGCCGCGUGCGGGAUGACGGCCUUCGGGUUGUAAACCGCUUUCGCCUGUGACGAAGCGUGAGUGACGGUAAUGGGUAAAGAAGCACCGGCUAACUACGUG